GGAAGGGUGCCCGAGUGGCUUAAGGGGUUGGUUUGCUAAACCAUUGUACGGCUUUAAAACCGUACCGAGGGUUCGAAUCCCUCCCCUUCCG
rnacentral:tRNA from 1 species